rnacentral:rRNA from 1 species
GACGAACGCUGGCGGCGUGCUUAACACAUGCAAGUCGAACGGAGUUAAGGAGCUUGCUCCUUAACUUAGUGGCGAACGGGUGAGUAAUGCGUGAGGAACCUGCCUUUCAGUGGGGGACAACAGUUGGAAACGACUGCUAAUACCGCAUGAUACUAUUGAGUGGCAUCACUUGAUAGUCAAAGAUUUAUUGCUGAAAGAUGGCCUCGCGUCUGAUUAGCUAGUUGGUGGGGUAACGGCCCACCAAGGCGACGAUCAGUAGCCGGACUGAGAGGUUGAUCGGCCACAUUGGGACUGAGAUACGGCCCAGACUCCUACGGGAGGCAGCAGUGAGGAAUAUUGGUCAAUGGCCGGGAGGCUGAACCAGCCAUGCCGCGUGAAGGUCACGGCCCUAUGGGUCUUAAACUUCUUUUGUAAGGGAGCAAUAAGGUUCACGUGUGGACUGAUGAGAGUACCUUACGAAUAAGCAUCGGCUAACUCCGUGCCAG